rnacentral:lncRNA from 1 species
ACACAAUGCUUAACAUUUUGCAUCUGUGAAUUUUCUGAAUGAUGCCGUCUUACACUUUCCAUUCUCCCUUUUAAGAGCAAAGCUUGAAUAUUCCUGCUCGCCAGUGAGAACACCUUAGCUGAACACACAGUGGAAAUGUUAGCGACUUUUAACACUUGAGAGCGAGUUCCUAAACUAGGUUUAUAUUUCCCUUUGUCGGCAAAGAAACCCAGCAGGAGAAAACAGUACCCAUUCACAGAGGCUCCAGUGUUCUCCUAAGGACUCCUCCCCAGUUUAAAACACAUUUGCUUCAUGGCAGGAGGUUUUAAAGUGGCUUGAUUUCAGAUUAUUAGAAUUGCAUUUUCAAUCUAAUUUUUUUAUGAGAUUGAAUGGACUUAAUGGAUAUAAAAUUCAAUGGACUGUGUUCCCUUUUUUUUUCUCCCCAGGAAUCUAUACACUGCAGAGUGAGGGAACUGUUUUAAAAAGUCUCUCUGAGAGUCGGCAUGCCCAGAAACAGAACUACACCUGGCGGCAGAGGUGUUCAGAUGAGGCCUGUUUCAGUUCUCGGCUGCGUUCCUUCAGACCAGAGAAGACGUGGGAAAGCAACCUGUGGCGGACCUGAAUCAGCCUACCCACCGGGAUUCUUUUCCCAGGUCACGGAGAGAAGCAGAAAUCUUUCCUCUGUCAACUGGAGAGAGUACACCUGAGUGACGGCGGUGUGUCGACUCAAAACACAGGAAUUAGGGAAUAAAGUGGCAAUGACCUUUGUCAUCUUCUGUGUGGCGUCUUGUAACCUUAUUUUAGUAGCUACGGGUGAUGUAGAAACACCUCAUUUUAAAAAAGGAGUGCUCCAAUUUAACACCGCGGUCUCUGUAGCACCAUUACGGUGGGAAUUCAACCUGACACAGUCCUACUCAAAUGAAGCUCCAAAGCCAUUCUUCCAGGAAAUGGUGUUCUCGUAAUGUUUCCCUGCUGCUGUUCUCUGGGCUUCAAUUGUUUCACUUUCACAAUGACUUUUUCUGUGCAAUCUUUUCCACCUCCC